UACGUAGGGUGCAAGCGUUGUCCGGAAUUAUUGGGCGUAAAGAGCUCGUAGGCGGUCUGUCGCGUCGGCUGUGAAAACCCGGGGCUCAACCCCGGGCCUGCAGUCGAUACGGGCAGACUAGAGUGCGGUAGGGGAGACUGGAAUUCCUGGUGUAGCGGUGAAAUGCGCAGAUAUCAGGAGGAACACCGAUGGCGAAGGCAGGUCUCCUGGGCCGAUACUGACGCUGAGGAGCGAAAGCGUGGGGAGCGAACAGG
rnacentral:rRNA from 1 species